UACGUAGGGUGCAAGCGUUAAUCGGAAUUACUGGGCGUAAAGCGUGCGCAGGCGGUUGUGCAAGACAGAUGUGAAAUCCCCAGGCUCAACCUGGGAACUGCAUUUGUGACUGCACGGCUGGAGUGCGGCAGAGGGGGAUGGAAUUCCGCGUGUAGCAGUGAAAUGCGUAGAUAUGCGGAGGAACACCGAUGGCGAAGGCAAUCCCCUGGGCCUGCACUGACGCUCAUGCACGAAAGCGUGGGGAGCAAACAGG
rnacentral:rRNA from 1 species